GCCUGUUUGGCUCAGUGGAUAGAGCGUCAGCCUGCGGACUGAAGGGUCCAGGUUCGAUUCCAGUCAAGGGCA
rnacentral:tRNA from 1 species